GACGGAGGGUGCUAGCGUUGUUCGGAAUGACUGGGCGUAAAGGGCGCGUAGGCGGCUCGUGAAGUCGGGUGUGAAAGCCCGGGGCUCAACCCCGGAACGGCAUCCGAUACUGGCGGGCUUGAGACCGGGAGAGGAGGGUGGAAUACCCAGUGUAGAGGUGAAAUUCGUAGAUAUUGGGUGGAACACCGGUGGCGAAAGCGGCUCUCUGGGCCGAUACUGACGCUGAGGAGCGAAAGCGUGGGGAGCGAACAGG
rnacentral:rRNA from 1 species